AUGAAGAUGGGGUUACAAGCGUAUUAUAAUUGGCAUGACUGGUUUUUAGCUAAGGAAGAGAAGAACGCUAACACAGGUAAUCACCAAAUAGAGGUUUGGAAUCUGUCGGUAUCGGGACAAGUUAAAUGUAAUGUUGAUAUAGAUUUUAAUAAUGUUUGUGGAACUACUAAUAGAAGUUGGUGCCUAAGGGAUCAUCUAGGGAGAAUUCUCACGCAGGAGUGGCUUGGGAUGUGGGUCUCUUAUCUGUUAUUGAAGCUGAAGUUAUUGUCUUUAAAGAAGCGAUCCAACAAGUCAUUUCUUUACAGUUAA